rnacentral:misc_RNA from 1 species
UUUCCGCAGGUGAACCUGCGGAAGGAUCAUUAUUGUAUAACCGAGGUGCGAGGGCUGUCGCUGACCCGAAAGGUCGUGCACGCCCGAGUGCCCUCACACACAUCCAUCUCACCCCUAUGUGCACCACCGCGUGGGUCCCCCUUUGGCUUGUUCGGAGGGGGGCUUACGUUUUCACACAAACUUUGUAUGCAGUGUAGAAUGUAUUAUUUGUUUUUGCGAUCACGCAAUCAAUACAACUUUCAACAACGGAUCUCUUGGCUCUC